AAAAAAAAUAUAAAAAAAAUUGUUUGGUUUCAGUUCCAGCUCCAGUUUCACUCUCUUAGUUUCUUUGCUGAUAGUUGAGAUUUGAUAAUGGGAAAAAAAGAAAAUUGUAAAAGAUAGAUGGAUCGGUAUCAGAGGGUGGAGAAGC